CCAGAGAACUUUCCAGAGAUGGAUUGGUGCCUUCGGGAACUCUGAGACAGGUGCUGCAUGGCUGUCGUCAGCUCGUGUUGUGAAAUGUUGGGUUAAGUCCCGCAACGAGCGCAACCCUUUAUCCUUUGUUGCCAGCGGUUAGGCCGGGAAACUCAAAGGAGACUGCCAGUGAUAAACUGGAGGAAGGUGGGGAUGACGUCAAGUCAUCAUGGCCCUUACGAGUAGGGCUACACACGUGCUACAAUGGCGCAUACAAAGAGAAGCGACCUCGCGAGAGCAAGCGGACCUCAUAAAGUGCGUCGUAGUCCGGAUUGGAGUCUGCAACUCGACUCCAUGAAGUCGGAAUCGCUAGUAAUCGUAGAUCAGAAUGCUACGGUGAAUACGUUCCCGGGCCUUGUACACACCGCCCGUCACACCAUGGGAGUGGGUUGCAAAAGAAGUAGGUAGCUUAACCUUCGGGAGGGCGCUUACCACUUUGUGAUUCAUGACUGGGGUGAAGUCGUAACAAGGUAGGCGUAGUGCU
rnacentral:rRNA from 1 species